UACAGAUGGUGGAGAUGCUGCGCAAUCAGCAGGGAAGCCUAUAUUAUAUGGAAAAUGGGAAGAAUAAUUAAGAGAGAGUAUAAAAGAGUCAGAGAAGAGAGAGAGAAUGAAUCUGGGUUUGGAAGAGACUAUUUGGAGUUGGAAGUCGAGAUAAGAUGGAAGCUUCUGGUAGCAGCUUUGGUACAUGAGGAUUUCGAGAAGGCUGAAGGCUGUUCAGCUCUCAGGAUUCUGCUCUGGUUCAACCUUAGCACCUCCUCUUAUUUGUCAAGCACUGACUACAGGAGGCAGCGCUGCUGAGUGAGGAAGGCCCUGACUUGGAAUCAGACAAGGUGGGAAUUUCUAUGUCGUGUGCCACAGAGACUCCCAGCAAG